UGGGAUUUGCUGGGAUGUGUGUGCUUUUUGUUGAGUGUUUAUCAAAUCUCAUAUUCCUUAAUCCUGAAGUGUUCCUGUCUGUAUAGCGAAAUCUAUCUGAAUUAAUUCUACUGAUAAGACUGGAGUAUGAAUUUCCUCCCUGCAUAACAGUCUGAGGGUCUCAUCUUAUUGAAUCACAAGUUUCUGACUUGGGAGUGGAGGUGCACAUGUGUGGGGGCGUCUGAGAUGGACUCUUGCCAUCACUGGGCACAAAUAUUUCCUUUGUAAUGCAGAAUACCCCAAAGGGUUUCAAAUGAACUGCAUCCUGACUCCCUCUACACACAGGCACAGGGGUCUGCCAUUAUGCUUUUUGCAGAAACCACAUUUCUAAUUUGCUGUUUAAAAAAAGGCGCAGUACAUCAACUGGUUUAUAACAGAGCAAACACUGUUUGUUAAAUCCUAUGCAGGUAAACAGCUCAUUUCCUUCCUGCUCUAUUGUUAAACCUCGUAACUCAAAAUCCGGUCACCUUAUUUCACAUUUUUUGGAGGUCGGAGAGUUGCAUGACUUUCUGCAGAGUUCUGCAGCUCCCGUAGGUGAGAUGCCAAUAUGUCUGUCUGCAGGUAUUCAAUGGUUUGAAAAGGAAAGAAGGAUUGCUUUGAAGCUAAGUAUUAAACAUUAGUUCUAGCUUUUUAACUGUUUCUGCCAUUGCUUUCCUGUCUUUGGCCUCAAAAUAGCAGAGGUUAGUGCCCACCCAGAGCUGUGGGCAUCCACUGCCUUACAACCAGCAGCUCAGAUUAUGCCUGUCUCCACAAAAACUGCUAGAGCUACCAAAUGCAAUGCUUUCAGCCUACUUCUGGUCACGGGAAGAGUUUUCCAAGGUCUACAGACCAUCAGAGGCCUCUGUAAUCCCAAAGAGCUGGCACUCCUUUUGGAUGCUGGUAUGCAAAAUGUUGACCUCUAACACAGAAAACUGCUAUCAGAUAGGACCUUCAUAACUAAUGCCACUUAAAACAUCCCAGCUAGAAAAGUUAUUGAUGCGAUAACUAGGAAAGACCUCUGUCAAUACCUAACUAUAAGUUGCAGUCUAUUCAGCCCCAAGUUUACAGUUGAGAAAAAUAUGACUCAAGAGCCCUCAAUUGGCUGACAAAUAAUAAACACUGCUAGAAUCGGGGGCCAGGUUGGAUUCCAAGAUAUGGCAACAGAUGGGUCAGGUGGAUGGACCUCCCGAUCAGUGGGGCAGCAGUAAACUCUACCACCUUCCAACUGGCUAGUGGCAGUGGAACUCUGGCCAAGGGUGUAGGUAGCAAGACAACAGGAGCCACAAGUCACCCAGGCUGCCAUCAGGGUAAAUAAAGGCUGCUGUAAAAUGCACACGCAACCCAACAAAAACUGUUUCCCAGUCUUAUUAAUAAGGUUAUUUAGGCAUAAAAUGUCAGAUGGCCUGAUUCUGUAUGUUAAACAGGUGUUUCUUGAAGGGAAAAGUCUUUGAGAGAGUGAUUGCUAGCAUUUACUGAUGGCAGGACAAGAGGUUCCUCACCUGCUGCCACCAGCAGCCCUGAGUUGGGAGUGUGCCACAGGGCUUGGGUUGUAGUGUCACUAUACUGACACUGAGUAUAGCUUGGGAGUUCAAAAUAAAGCAAUUAAAAUUCCCUUUGAAAUAUUUGUGAAAAGAAUGAAGGUACUUCAGGAACCAAGCAAGGCAGAAUGAGAAAGAAAAAAAACAGUAGUCUUCCCGUGGUUUUCAGGAUAAACUUUUCAGUCUUCAGAUCAUCUUCAUUUAUUUUG
ensembl:lncRNA